UAAUAAGUGUUUAGCUCAGGGCAUAUAAUUUAUAAAAACCUUCAUCUACGUGAUAAACACUAUGAAAGGCGAGGGUAUAUAUAAAAAGUUCGCCGACUUCUUAUAGUACAGUUAACUUACUACCAACUUUGAAACAAAGAAAAAGAGGAGAAGCGAUUCCGUUUACUGCAAUCGAUGAAAUGAGCCAAGGGUGUGCUUUAUCCCGCGAAAAAUGCUCAUCCACUGCCGACCUCAUUUCGUUUUUAUGGAAAAUUCUUCUACCACUUAAUGCCAUCUUUACAUCUUUAAACAAGUAAAAAUCGCUGGGAGCCAGUUCUGGACUGUAAAGUGGAUGGUUAAUUCCUCAAAGUCCCAUAUAUCGUA